AUGAACUUGUUUCUUGUUGCAGAGAUUGCAGAGUCGUGAGAGAUCCACAAACGCUCAAAUCCAAAGGAUAUGGAUUCGUUUCCUUUGUUAAAAAAGCGGAAGCGGAAAGUGCUAUCGGUGCCAUGAAUGGACAAUGGCUUGGUAGCAGGAGUAUUCGAACGAAUUGGGCGACUCGCAAACCCCCUGCGCCAAAAUCCGAGGCAAACGCGAAACCAUUGACUUUCGAUGAAGUGUACAAUCAAAGUAGUCCGACCAACUGCACGGUGUACUGCGGCGGACUCACCAAUGGUCUAACGGAAGAGCUAAUGCAAAAAACAUUUUCGCCUUUCGGAUCCAUCCAAGAGAUUCGCGUAUUCAAGGACAAGGGUUACGCUUUCAUCAGGUUUUCUACCAAAGAAUCGGCGACACACGCUAUUGUGGCGGUUCACAACACCGACAUCAAUGGUCAAACGGUGAAGUGUAGCUGGGGCAAGGAGAGCGGGGACCCGAACAAUGCUCAACAAACUGGACAGGCGUUAUCGUCGGCGACGUACCCAUACUACGCGGCGGCAGCAGCUGCCGCCGCGGCGGCGGCAGGCGUCGCGGGUGUCGGAGGCGUCGGUGGCGUCGGCGGUGCUGGCCAGCUAGGAUACUGGUACCCGCCCCAAUCUUAUCCCACCACAGCGACACAGAUGCAAGCCGGUGGUUUCCUUCAAGGGAUGCAGGGAUACACUUAUGGACAGUUCGCCGGCUAUCAACAGGCGCAAUACAUGGGAAUGGGAAUGGGUGUCCACGCUGCUGGCACGGCAGCAGGUUGGGGCCAGGGAUUACCUGGGGGACCACAGUUACCGCCACACCAUGCCACGACGGUCACGGCACCCCCAGGGGUGCAAGCCGCACCCCCACCACCACCACCUCCGGCACAAAUGAUGGCCUACCCGAUGCAACAGUUCCAGUAUGUAUUUGAAGAGAUAAGAGGGCCUAACGAUACAUAUUCGAGAUGAGGGAAUACUAAUGAAAAAGACUUAUAAACCCUAUCAAGAUCCUGCAUAAGAAUCUUUCAUCAGCAUGUGUUCUUGGUUGCGGUCCAGCUAGCGGAUGAGGACUGGCUGACGCCUAGCCUUCUAGUGUGAUGGUAAGCAAGCACACCCCACCAACAGGAACAACUUCUACAGCAACAACAGUUACCACCACCACCACCAUCACCACCACCACCAUUAUCACCACCACUACUACUACUACCACCACAACUACCAACAACAACAACAACAAAAUUUCCGUCACCAUCGACGCCACCGCGACAGCAAAAGCGACAAAAAUCAUGCCGCUUCCGGCUUGAUUCCGGA
rnacentral:misc_RNA from 1 species